GACGAACGCUGGCGGCGUGCUUAACACAUGCAAGUCGAACGAAGUGGCGAACGGGUGAGUAACGCGUAAUCAACCUGCCCUUCAGAGGGGGAAAACAGUUGGAAACGACUGCUAAUACCGCAUACUGAAGGAGGGGAUUGCGGCUGAUUAGCUAGUUGGGGGGGUAACGGCCCACCAAGGCGAUGCUCAGUCGCCGGUCUGAGAGGAUGAACGGCCACAUUGGGACUGAGACACGGCCCAGACUCCUACGGGAGGCAGCAGGUGGGAAUCUUCCGCCAGGGACGAAAGUCUGACGGGGCACCGCCGCGUGAGUGAUGGCGGCCUUCGGGUUGUAAAGCUCUGUUAAUCGGGACGCGGUACCGGAAUAGAAAGCCACGGCUAACUACGUGCCAGCCGCCGCGGUAAUAC
rnacentral:rRNA from 1 species